CUCACCCAGGCUGCUCUCAGUCAUGGUGUUCAUCACAGCGCUAGAAACAAACUAGGACCGUGGGCAUCUGUGGCUUCAGGAUGAAUGGAAAGGUCAAGCAGUCAUGAAAUAAGACAACAGAAACCUUGAUAAAGGUAAUUGAUAGUCUUCCAGAAACUACGGUGUGUUGAAAAGGUGAGUGACAUAUUCUCUUGCUACAGAAGGAAAGGCUAUGGUGACUGUUUCUGUGCUUGGUGGUGGUUGGAGAGUGUCUUCCACCAGCUAGAAGCUGGACUGCUCAUAGGGCAAGUGUUCUCAGCUACAGGUCAUGCUGACUUCUCCUUCCCCUUUUCCUGGGACAUCUUCCCCUUCCACUAACACUGCGGGUGACUGACAGUGUCUUAACCUCACAGAGAUCACUCUCAAGGGUGAUUGGUGGCAUCUUUGCCCCACUAAAGUGACUCUCAAAGCCUUUCUGUCAGUUUCUGACUUGUGAAGAUGACUGAAACUUGUGUUCCCAAGCCUCUGCCCUGACUGCCUGGGUUCCCGGUGUGUCCAACAUUUCGGAGUUUUCUUGGGAUUUUUAAACUGAGCUGAGCUUGACGUUGUCAACCACAGAGCAAUGAAGAGGAAAGAUGUCCCAAUGAGGAAGAGCUGUGGCCUCAGGACAUGUGACUGUCAGAGGCUCUUUGUCUCAUGAGGCUGGAAGAGGAGCAGAGUCACCGUGAGAUACAUAGCGGUUGUUUCCUGUCAUUGCAUCACAGAUCUGUGAUGCCUCAGUCCUAGAAUGCUGCGUGACCCACACAUGCUCAGUUCUUCCCCAUACGCUUCUCACGCGACAGUCCCAGGACGGAGGAGCCACAUGCCUGUUUACAGAGAGGCAGUGGGAUUUCCAUGUCGCCCCUUGGAGGUGGCUGAGAAAAAUAUACAUGCAGCUCCCUUGGGGAUCUGACUUUCUAGGAAUCCAAGUUUAGUCUAUUAACAUGGUGGCUACUUACACUGGGACUUUGUUUCCAGUUCAAACAGAGUGAGGAGUCUUCUCAGGCCUCCAGCGGUGGUCCCUGACUUACCACUCUCCCGUGAUAUCUCUUUGUCACACAUUUCAGAGCCCAGCAUCUCAUAGGUGGCCCACCUCACUUCUCUUCGGCAAGCAGGAGCCCCCAGCUCUGGCAGGAAGCACAGUAUCUCUUUUUGGGAUGAGAAUUUUGAACACACUCUGUCUCUUGGUGAGGACAGGGCAGAAUGCUGGGGCUCUGAGGCACUUGAGAGAGGGAACGGCUCUGAGGCACUUGAGAGAGGGAACGGGGAGGACGCUGGUGUCCUCCACCAACAGCCGAGGAAACGGACAUUGGAAGGAGCUUGGCCAUGAACCAAAAUUCCUGUCCUGCAAUCUGCCUUCCUCUCUCCUUGCCCAAUCCAGGGCUCAGACUGGCUUUGAGGUGUCUCCGUAUCACUCCCCCAGCCCAGUUCUGUUAAUGUCACACUCCAAUGUCGAGGGGUGCGGUCUCAGCUUGGGUUUUGGGGUUCCCGGGUGCUCCCCGCUCCCUUUGGCGGCUUCAUUCCUUGCCUAUGAUCGGACACUAGAUGACAGUGUGUUCCUCUCAUUAAACAGCUCCACGUCCGAGGGGCCUGGCCUUCUCUGUAAAUAUCUCCUAGCUCUCCCCUAAGCACUCUGCCGGAAUCCAGUUCAAGGACGACUCCCACUCUCCACCAGAGCCGCCUGACCCAUGGGAGCCCAGAGGAGGCAGCCAGUGAGAAGGAGCCCCACCCACAAAAGGAUGAAGCCGAGGUGACACACCACUGAAUGAGGGCUUUCCUUGACUUCACCCGGAAAGCUUGAAGGGUUCCCUCCAGCUGUCCUCCCUUGAGACGGGAAGCCACCUUUUCCAAAGUAUGGUGGGGAGGAGUUGGGACCCUUCCUCUCCUAUGCUCCCAAGCGCUGGUUCACAGAAAGGGAACUGAAGACCAGCAGCUGACGACUCUCAGAGCCAUGCAACAGCUCAAAGUCACACAUAGUCACAUCAGCCUGGCUUUACAGGCAUCAUGCAAGACACAAGAGAGAAGCUUGUGUCAAGGUUCUGGAAAACUCCCGAGGCUGGACAAUGUGGAGCAGGCCUGGUAAGGAGCUCACGAGUGGACUGUGGGUGAGGCCUUAAGUUGCAGGAGAGACCCUGGGCUAUUGGAGAUGCCCACAGCAUGGUUUGUUCACCAAGGAAAGCUAUAAGCACCAAGUGCACUGGCUAGGAGACACACGUACCAGAGGCAGCAGAGCAGGAGGGGCACCAGCCAAGCCCUCUCAUGUGUUGACAGCGACCUCACGAGCUCCAGAUGCUGAACAGGCAGUUUCGGGUUUGGCAUUAGCUCGGCUGAGCUCCUGUCCUGCUUCAGCCUUCUCUUGUUAUAUUCCAGUCCUUUUGGAAUGGACGCCUUUCCUUCAUGCUGUUGGAUAUGGGAGGUGUGUAAGGUGCACCUUGAUUUCAGAGGUUCACAGCUACAAGAUUGCUUUGAGUCUCAGAAGAGACAUUUGGACUUUUGAACAGUGUUGACUGUUAAAGGCUAUGGCUACCUUUGAAAUUCACCCGAAGGCACUAAUUACAUGGCCGUGAGCCUGUGGGGGCUUGGGAUAGAAUAUAACUGUUUAACUGUGAAA